rnacentral:rRNA from 1 species
UACGUAGGGGGGCAAGCGUUGUCCGGAAUUAUUGGGCGUAAAGAGCGUGUAGGCGGAUAUUUAAGUCAGAUGUGAAAAACUGGCGGGCUCAACCCGUGAGACUGCAUCUGAUACUGGAUAUCUUGAGGGUAAGAGAGGGCAGUGGAAUUCCUAGUGUAGCGGUGAAAUGCGUAGAUAUUAGGAGGAACACCAGUGGCGAAGGCGACUGCCUGGCUUACAACUGACGCUGAGACGCGAAAGCGUGGGGAGCAAACAGG